rnacentral:rRNA from 1 species
AACGAACGCUGGCGGCAGGCUUAACACAUGCAAGUCGAACGCCCCGCAAGGGGAGUGGCAGACGGGUGAGUAACGCGUGGGAAUCUACCUAGAACUACGGAACAACACAGGGAAACUUGUGCUAAUACCGUAUACGCCCUACGGGGGAAAGAUUUAUCGGUUUUAGAUGAGCCCGCGUAAGAUUAGCUAGUUGGAGAGGUAAUGGCUCACCAAGGCGACGAUCUUUAGCUGGUCUGAGAGGAUGAUCAGCCACACUGGGACUGAGACACGGCCCAGACUCCUACGGGAGGCAGCAGUGGGGAAUAUUGGACAAUGGGCGCAAGCCUGAUCCAGCCAUGCCGCGUGAGUGAUGAAGGCCUUAGGGUUGUAAAGCUCUUUCACCGGAGAAGAUAAUGACGGUAACCGGAGAAGAAGCCCCGGCUAACUUCGUGCCAGCCGCCGCCGUAAAAC